UACAGAGGGCCCAAGCGUUGUUCGGAUUUACUGGGCGUAAAGGGUGCGUAGGAGGUUGGCAAAGUCGGGUGUGAAAUCUCACCGCUUAACGGUGAAAUUGCGCUCGAUACUGGUUGACUAGAGUAUCGGAGGGGAAAGCGGAAUUCCUGGUGUAGCGGUGAAAUGCGUAGAUAUCAGGAGGAACACCAACGGCGAAGGCAGCUUUCUGGACGAUAACUGACUCUGAGGCACGAAGGCCAGGGGAGCGAACGGG
rnacentral:rRNA from 1 species